UGGAAAUGAUGAAAUGGAGGUCACCUAUGUAGGUGUGUGCAUGCGUGGGGGAGGGGGAGGGGGAGGAUGGAAGAUAUUCUAUAUUAAAAGGUAUAUAUAUGUGUGUGUGUGUGCGCGCGCGCAUGUAGAAGCUAUAUCAUGAUGCAAAUUGUGGGCACUGAAAGGAAUUGCUGAUUUCGGAGUGCAUCUGAGGCACCGUUGCUAAAUUAUAGGGUCUUUUGUGCAAUGUUGCCAGUGAUUAGAACCCGAAAUAGGUUCAUAAUUUGCAUCUAGGCAGUUUAAACCUCUAACAGGUUCAUUUUGUCAAACAAACAAACCUGUGAUCUGAUCUAA